GGCAUUACAAGUACUACUAAGAAUACGGCAACUACUAAAACAUCAGCAUUUUACUGAUGGAUGUUU
rnacentral:tRNA from 1 species